rnacentral:rRNA from 1 species
GAUGAACGCUGGCGGCGUGCCUAAUACAUGCAAGUCGAACGAAACUUCUUUAUCACCGAGUGCUUGCACUCACCGAUAAAGAGUUGAGUGGCGAACGGGUGAGUAACACGUGGGCAACCUGCCCAAAAGAGGGGGAUAACACUUGGAAACAGGUGCUAAUACCGCAUAACCAUAGUUACCGCAUGGUAACUAUGUAAAAGGUGGCUAUACUACCGCUUUUGGAUGGGCCCGCGGCGCAUUAGCUAGUUGGUAGGGUAAAGGCUUACCAAGGCAAUGAUGCGUAGCCGACUUGAGAGGUUGAUCGGCCACAUUGGGACUGAGACACGGCCCAAACUCCUACGGGAGGCAGCAGUAGGGAAUCUUCCACAAUGGGCGAAAGCCUGAUGGAGCAACGCCGCGUGGGUGAAGAAGGUCUUCGGAUCGUAAAACCCUGUUGUUAGAGAAGAAAGUGCGUGAGAGUAACUGUUCACGUUUCGACGGUAUCUAACCAGAAAGCCACUGCUAACUACGUG